CAGAUUAUAGAGAGAGAGUGGGUAUACUAUGAAUCCUUUGAUAAACUGUAAGCAAUUUGAAGUUAGUUUUCCAUCAAUACCCUUGCAUCCAAAGAAGAAAAUGUAUAAAGCACAAGGCCAAAAUCAACUUUUCAACUAUUCAAAAAAUACUGCUCAUAUUUGGCUGAAAUUACUGUUCACCUUGCAUCCGUGCUUUAUAUAUAUUUUAUAGAUUUGUGAAUUGGGCUAAAGUUGAAGUUGUGCAUUGUUUUCCGAACUGGCAGACAGGAAAAUUGCUUAAAGAGUCCGACAAGGAAACUGGUCACAAAAAGACAAUUACAUCACUCACAGAAUCUGCAGAUAGCUCACAUCUUCUCACUGGUUCCCUAGAUAAAUCUGCUAAGCUUUGGGACAUCAGAUCUUUGACACUUAUCAAGACCUAUGUGACGGAACGUCCAGUUAAUGUAGUUGCUAUGUCUCCACUUCUUGAUCAUGUGGUGCUUGGAGGUGGUCAGGAUGCUUCAGCUGUCACAACUACUGACCAUUGUGCUGGAAAG